rnacentral:rRNA from 1 species
CAAAGGGAGCAUAAUCAAUUGGCUUUUAAAUAAAGUCUGGUAUGAACGAAAGUAUGGGUGGGAACUGUCUUAGUAUAUUAAUUUGAACUUAUUAAGCAAGUGCAAAUACUUGCAAGUUUAAAAAAGACGAGAAGACCCUAGAAACUUGGAAUAGUUUUUGUUGGGGCGACAGAAUUACAUUUAACUAAUUUUUAUGACAUGACACUUAGUUGGUAGAAUAAGUUACUCUAGGGAUAACAGCAUAAUUUAAACAGUUUGUGACCUCGAUGUUGGAUUAG